rnacentral:rRNA from 1 species
CACAAAAGUAUUAAAGGUCUCGCCUGCCCAGUGAUUUAUUCAACGGCCGCGGUAUUCUAACCGUGCAAAGGUAGCGUAAUCACUUGUCCAAUAAAUCUGGACCAGUAUGAACGGCUAAAUGAGGGCUAACCUGUCUCCUUUGUCCAAUCCGUGAAACUAAUCUUUUAGUCCAAAAGCUAAAAUGUAUUCAUAAGACGAGAAGACCCUGUGGAGCUUUAAAUUUACACCAAAGAACUUUUAAGUAUUAAUGGUUAAAUAUUUUAAGUUGGGGCAACUUCGGAACAAAACAAAACUUCCGAGAAUAAGAUACCACAUCUCACCAAGGCCCACAAGCCAAAUAAAUCGACCCAGCACAGCUGAUAAACGAACCAAGUUACCCCAGGGAUAACAGCGCCAUCUUCUUCAAGAGUUCAUAUCGACAAGAAGGCUUACGACCUCGAUGUUGGAUCAGGACACCCAAACGGUGCAACCGCUGUUAAUGGUUCGUUUGUUCAACGAUUAAUAGUCCUACGUGAUCUGAGUUCAGACCGG